AUUGAACGCUGGCGGCAGGCCUAACACAUGCAAGUCGAGCGGAUGAUGGGAGCUUGCUCCUUGAUUCAGCGGCGGACGGGUGAGUAAUGCCUAGGAAUCUGCCUGGUAGUGGGGGACAACGUUUCGAAAGGAACGCUAAUACCGCAUACGUCCUACGGGAGAAAGCAGGGGACCUUCGGGCCUUGCGCUAUCAGAUGAGCCUAGGUCGGAUUAGCUUGUUGGUGAGGUAAUGGCUCACCAAGGCGACGAUCCGUAACUGGUCUGAGAGGAUGAUCAGUCACACUGGAACUGCGACGCGGUCCAGACUCCUACGGGAGGCAGCAGUGGGGAAUAUUGGACAAUGGGCGAAAGCCUGAUCCAGCCAUGCCGCGUGUGUGAAGAAGGUCUUCGGAUUGUAAAGCACUUUAAGUUGGGAGGAAGGGUUGUAGAUUAAUACUCUGCAAUGUUGACGUUACCGACAGAAUAAGCACCGGCUAACUCUGUGCCAGCCGCCGCCGUAACAC
rnacentral:rRNA from 1 species